UACGAGUGCCUCAAGCGUUAUCCGGAAUCAUUGGGCGUAAAGGGUGUGUAGGCGGCUCUGUUAGUCUUGCGUUAAAUCUACCGGCUCAACCGGUAGGCCGCGCGGGAAACGGCAGGGCUCGAGGACGGGAGAGGUCUCUGGAACUCAUGGUGUAGCGGUGAAAUGCGUUGAUAUCAUGGGGAACACCGAAAGCGAAGGCAAGAGACUGGCCCGCUCCUGACGCUGAAACACGAAAGCGUGGGUCGCGAAUGGG
rnacentral:rRNA from 1 species